rnacentral:rRNA from 1 species
UACGAAGGGUGCAAGCGUUGUUCGGAAUCAUUGGGCGUAAAGGGCGCGUAGGCGGAUAUGCAAGUCGAAUGUGAAAACCCUGGGCUUAACCUAGGACGUGCAUUCGAUACUGUAGAUCUUGAAUGCUUCAGAGGACGGCGGAAUUCCAGGUGUAGAGGUGAAAUUCGUAGAUAUCUGGAGGAACAUCCGAGGCGAAGGCGGCCGUCUGGGGAGACAUUGACGCUGAGGCGCGAGAGCGUGGGGAUCAAACAGG